GGCACGAUGGUGCAGUGGUCAGCGCUGUUGCCCCAUAGGGAGGAGGUUCUGGGUUCACAUCCCAGCUGGCCA